rnacentral:rRNA from 1 species
GGCUCAGGAUGAACGCUGGCGGCGUGCUAACACAUGCAAGUCGAACGGAGCUUAAGAAGGAAGCUUGCUUCAUUUAAGCUUAGUGGCGGACGGGUGAGUAACGCGUGAGCAACCUGCCCUUCAGUGGGGAAUAACACCGAGAAAUCGGUGCUAAUACCGCAUAAUGUCGGAGGACCGCAUGAUCUCCGACCAAAGGAUUUAUUCGCUGAAGGAUGGGCUCGCGUCCGAUUAGGCAGUUGGCGGGGUAACGGCCCACCAAACCGACGAUCGGUAGCCGAACUGAGAGGUUGAUCGGCCACAUUGGGACUGAGACACGGCCCAGACUCCUACGGGAGGCAGCAGUGGGGAAUAUUGGGCAAUGGGCGAAAAAGCCUGACCCAGCAACGCCGCGUGAAGGAUGAAGGUCUUCGGAUUGUAAACUUCUUUGAUUGGGGAAGAAUAAAUGACCUACCCAAAGAACAAGUCACGGCUAACUACGUGCCAGCCGCGGC